AACGAACGCUGGCGGCAGGCCUAACACAUGCAAGUCGAGCGAACCCUUCGGGGUUAGCGGCGGACGGGUGAGUAACGCGUGGGAACGUGCCCUUUGCUACGGAAUAGCCCUGGGAAACUGGGAGUAAUACCGUAUGUGCCCUACGGGGGAAAGAUUUAUCGGCAAAGGAUCGGCCCGCGUUGGAUUAGGUAGUUGGUGGGGUAAUGGCCUACCAAGCCGACGAUCCAUAGCUGGUUUGAGAGGAUGAUCAGCCACACUGGGACUGAGACACGGCCCAGACUCCUACGGGAGGCAGCAGUGGGGAAUCUUAGACAAUGGGCGCAAGCCUGAUCUAGCCAUGCCGCGUGAGCGAUGAAGGCCUCAGGGUUGUAAAGCUCUUUCGCCUGGGAAGAUAGUGACGGUACCAGGUAAAGAAGCCCCGGCUAACUCCGUGCCAGCAGCCGCGGUAACAC
rnacentral:rRNA from 1 species